UUCAUCAUAGCUGGAUCUAUGAUGGGACUUCACAGAGACCUAAGAGUAAGAGUGCUGUGGUUCUAAAUGUUGCUGCUGGUGUGACUUCACUUGUCACAGCGAUGGUCUUCUUCCUGGAUGCGUCUCAAGCAUUUACCAACAGCAACCCUGGGCAGUCAGACCUGGACAUGUCCAGCCAGGCAAUUUCAGGAUUUUCAGCCAUUCUCUGCUUGAUCCAGCUGAUGUUGUGUGGCUGUUCUGCAGGAGUAGGCAAACCUGGAGGUUGCUGUGAUCCCACACGUCAGCACUAUGGAAAUGCUUCAGUGACUGUACAGACUCCCCAAACUUGGACCAACCCACAGUGA
rnacentral:lncRNA from 1 species